AGGACGAACGCUGGCGGGCGUGCUUAACACAUGCAAGUGGAGCGACGAACCAGGGCUUGCCCUGGGGCAGAGCCGCGAACGGGUGAGUAACACGUGGGUUACCUGCCUCGAUGACCGGGACAACCCGAGGAAACUCGGGCUAAUACCGGAUGUGCCCGCAAGGGGAAAGGAAGCUUCGGCCUCCGCAUCGAGAUGGGCCCGCGGCCCAUUAGCUUGUUGGUGAGGUAAUGGCUCACCAAGGCUUCGAUGGGUAGCUGGUCUGAGAGGACGAUCAGCCACACUGGGACUGAGACACGGCCCAGACUCCUACGGGAGGCAGCAGUGGGGAAUCUUGCGCAAUGCGCGAAAGCGUGACGCAGCAACGCCGCGUGGGGGAAGAAGGCUUUCGGGUUGUAAACCCCUUUCAGUUGGGACGAAGCUUCUCCGGUGAAUAGCCGGACGGAGUGACGGUACCUUCACAAGAAGCACCGGCUAACUACGCGCCAGCAGCCGCGGU
rnacentral:rRNA from 1 species